AUCUGUUGAAUGCGGGCGGCACUUUGUCUGGAUGGUGGAGUUUCUACAAUGUUGAUAUGUGUUAGUGUUGAAGUUGCUGCUUUCUCUGGAUGUUGCUGCUUGCAGAGCAGAUAUCCACAGAGCUGAACUGCCGAUCGAGAAUUUGAUCAAGUGAGUCAAACACGAUGAGCUGGAUUUUCACCAAGCUGGGAUGACUCAGCAGCCUUUCAAAGUGGCGGCCAGGACCAAGACCAGAGAUCACAGAGCCAGAACUGUCAGUCAAUUGAUGUUUUCUCCAGGGCUCAUCUGUUUUAGUACUCCAAUGAAUGUUUGGGCUCUGAACCAAGAAUACAUAAUGAGUCUUGUAAUUUUAACAGCUCCAUGAAUGCAUGCAUUCCCCACCUCUGCAAACUUUGCAUUAUUCAGUUACAAAAGGUUUGAUGAUAUUCAGAUUAGUGAUUAAAAUAGCCUUUACUCUGUUAGCUAAAAAGGUUCACUGACUUAAAAAAGUGUAUAAUCAUUAUUCUAUUAGGAAUAACAUAAUAUCAUUCAAUUCAACUUCAUGUGCUUUGUACAUUAUGGUUACUUUAUUAAAUAGAUACAAUUC